CACAACAAUUCAUUUCUUUCCCAUCAACGCAAAUUUUAUAUUUUUUUUUUCGCUUUCUUUUUCGGUACCAUAUUCAUAUUACAUUGUAAUGUUGGAUCGAAAGGGAAAAGAAAAAAAAAAUGAAGAAAAAUACGACACGAUAAUGGAAAGAAAAUGAGAAAUGAAUAAUAGGAAGAAAAUAUUUGCGACCGUACGAGUGACUCUACGUAGGCGGGCAGAUGCUAAUCCCCAAUAGGCAAAUCAAGUUAGGUACUAUGCUACACUCAUAUUCGGCGAACGUCACCUCGUCGAGUGAACGGUGCUCUCUAUCCUCCUUCUCGAUGUCGUUCGAUUGUUUACACACGUCGAACACUAAGGUGACCCGUUCCGCGCGACAGUUGUCCAACCACGCGAACAAAACAUCUCGAUUCCACUCGCGAAAAUACUCACCCGCCAUCGCGUUGCUCCAUCGUGUUAAUUCCGUAUAAUACAGCAUGUAACGCUGUCGAUUACAGUGGAUACAUUUUUUGACAAUUAACAAAUACAUUAGAAUGAUAAAACAGUAGUGCCUGCUUAAAUUCAAAAUCAAAAUAUUUCAGCUUAAAUGACUUAACCUAAUUACUGUUCAUUACUUAAAAAUAAACCAAUUGAUAAAAA